ensembl:snoRNA
AAUGCUCAAAAAAACAGAGGAUGGCUCCCUGCCCUGUACAGGCGUCUGCUCUGGGGAUGACAGCCCGUCCCGGUGUCUGAAUGAUU